AUUGAACGCUGGCGGCAGGCCUAACACAUGCAAGUCGAGCGGAUGAAGGGAGCUUGCUCCUGGAUUCAGCGGCGGACGGGUGAGUAAUGCCUAGGAAUCUGCCUGGUAGUGGGGGAUAACGUCCGGAAACGGGCGCUAAUACCGCAUACGUCCUGAGGGAGAAAGUGGGGGAUCUUCGGACCUCACGCUAUCAGAUGAGCCUAGGUCGGAUUAGCUAGUUGGUGGGGUAAAGGCCUACCAAGGCGACGAUCCGUAACUGGUCUGAGAGGAUGAUCAGUCACACUGGAACUGAGACAGGGACCAGACUCCUACGGGAGGCAGCAGUGGGGAAUAGUGGACAAUGGGCGAAAGCCUGAUCCAGCCAGGCCGCGUGUGUGAAGAAGGUCUUCGGAUUGUAAAGCACUUUAAGUUGGGAGGAAGGGCAGUAAGUUAAUACCUUGCUGUUUUGACGUUACCAACAGAAUAAGCACCGGCUAACUUCGUG
rnacentral:rRNA from 1 species